rfam:Candidate division WOR-3 bacterium 4484_100 ex4484_100_scaffold_18783, whole genome shotgun sequence.
GGGGCAGUAGCUCAGUUGGGAGAGCGUCUCGUUCGCAGCGAGAAGGUCGCCAGUUCGACUCUGGUCUGCUCCA